UUGGCGGGAAUCAGAAACGCAUAUGGCAGUCAGUGGCAAGCUCGUGCGGAUUUUGGAAAUUCAGACUCCAAGUUAACCAUUGGUAAAAUGGAGAUGUCACAUAUUGAUAAAAAAAAGAAAAGAAAGACUAUUCACUGUUAUUGGCUUUCGGCACAGUGAAACAUACAUUAUGGAUUGGAAACAUCAGCUGAUAUGAACUAGUUCUCAUGAAAGAAGUGUCCGUACAGAUGUGUUAUACAGCCUUCAAUUGUGACACUGGUGCUAUUCUAUGAAGAGCAGCAUUUUGUCCCUGGAAAAAAAUGGUGGGCAAAUAAUAG